UACGAAGGGGGCUAGCGUUGUUCGGAUUUACUGGGCGUAAAGCGCACGUAGGCGGACUAUUAAGUCAGGGGUGAAAUCCUGGAGCUCAACUCCAGAACUGCCUUUGAUACUGGGGAUCUCGAGUCCGGAAGAGGUGAGUGGAACUCCGAGUGUAGAGGUGAAAUUCGUAGAUAUUCGGAAAGAACACCAGUGGCGAAGGCGGCUCACUGGCCCGAUACUGACGCUGAGGCACGAAAGCGUGGGGAGCAAACAGG
rnacentral:rRNA from 1 species